rnacentral:rRNA from 1 species
AAAUUGAAGAGUUUGAUCAUGGCUCAGAUUGAACGCUGGCGGCAGGCCUAACACAUGCAAGUCGAACGGUAACAGAAAGCAGCUUGCUGCUUUCGCUGACGAGUGGCGGACGGGUGAGUAAUGUCUGGGAAACUGCCUGAUGGAGGGGGAUAACUACUGGAAACGGUAGCUAAUACCGCAUAACGUCGCAAGACCAAAGAGGGGGACCUUCGGGCCUCUUGCCAUCGGAUGUGCCCAGAUGGGAUUAGCUUGUUGGUGGGGUAACGGCUCACCAAGGCGACGAUCCCUAGCUGGUCUGAGAGGAUGACCAGCCACACUGGAACUGAGACACGGUCCAGACUCCUACGGGAGGCAGCAGUGGGGAAUAUUGCACAAUGGGCGCAAGCCUGAUGCAGCCAUGCCGCGUGUAUGAAGAAGGCCUUCGGGUUGUAAAGUACUUUCAGCGGGGAGGAAGGGAGUAAAGUUAAUACCUUUGCUCAUUGACGUUACCCGCAGAAGAAGCACCGGCUAACUCCGUGCCAGCAGCCGCGGUAAUACGGAGGGUGCAAGCGUUAAUCGGAAUUACUGGGCGUAAAGCGCACGCAGGCGGUUUGUUAAGUCAGAUGUGAAAUCCCCGGGCUCAACCUGGGAACUGCAUCUGAUACUGGCAAGCUUGAGUCUCGUAGAGGGGGGUAGAAUUCCAGGUGUAGCGGUGAAAUGCGUAGAGAUCUGGAGGAAUACCGGUGGCGAAGGCGGCCCCCUGGACGAAGACUGACGCUCAGGUGCGAAAGCGUGGGGAGCAAACAGGAUUAGAUACCCUGGUAGUCCACGCCGUAAACGAUGUCGACUUGGAGGUUGUGCCCUUGAGGCGUGGCUUCCGGAGCUAACGCGUUAAGUCGACCGCCUGGGGAGUACGGCCGCAAGGUUAAAACUCAAAUGAAUUGACGGGGGCCCGCACAAGCGGUGGAGCAUGUGGUUUAAUUCGAUGCAACGCGAAGAACCUUACCUGGUCUUGACAUCCACAGAACUUUCCAGAGAUGGAUUGGUGCCUUCGGGAACUGUGAGACAGGUGCUGCAUGGCUGUCGUCAGCUCGUGUUGUGAAAUGUUGGGUUAAGUCCCGCAACGAGCGCAACCCUUAUCCUUUGUUGCCAGCGGUCCGGCCGGGAACUCAAAGGAGACUGCCAGUGAUAAACUGGAGGAAGGUGGGGAUGACGUCAAGUCAUCAUGGCCCUUACGACCAGGGCUACACACGUGCUACAAUGGCGCAUACAAAGAGAAGCGACCUCGCGAGAGCAAGCGGACCUCAUAAAGUGCGUCGUAGUCCGGAUUGGAGUCUGCAACUCGACUCCAUGAAGUCGGAAUCGCUAGUAAUCGUGGAUCAGAAUGCCACGGUGAAUACGUUCCCGGGCCUUGUACACACCGCCCGUCACACCAUGGGAGUGGGUUGCAAAAGAAGUAGGUAGCUUAACCUUCGGGAGGGCGCUUACCACUUUGUGAUUCAUGACUGGGGUGAAGUCGUAACAAGGUAACCGUAGGGGAACCUGCGGUUGGAUCACCUCCUUA